rnacentral:rRNA from 1 species
AUUGAACGCUGGCGGAAUGCUUUACACAUGCAAGUCGAACGGCAGCACGGGGGCAGCCCUGGUGGCGAGAGGCGAACGGGUGAGUAAUACACCGGAACGUGCCCGCUCGUGGGGGAGAACGUAGCGAAAGAUACGCUACUAACGCAUACGAACAGUGGAUGAAAGCGGGGGACCAUCGGACAGCGCGCGAUCGGCGCGGCCGUUGACAGAUUAGGUAGUUGGAGGGGUAAAGGCCUACCAAGCCGACGAUCUGUAGCUGGUCUGAGAGGACGACCAGCCACACUGGGACUGGGCCACGGCCCAGACUCCUACGGGAGGCAGCAGUGGGGAAUUUUCGACAAUGGGCGCAAGCCUGAUCCAGCCAUUCCGCGUGCAGGACGAAGGCCUUCGGGUUUUAAACUGCUUUUGUACGGAACGAAAAGGCUCUGGCUAAUACCUGGGGCUCAUGACGGUACCGUAAGAAUAAGCACCGGCUAACUACGUG